AUUGAACGCUGGCGGCAUGCUUUACACAUGCAAGUCGAACGGUAACAGGCCGCAAGGUGCUGACGAGUGGCGAACGGGUGAGUAAUGCAUCGGAACGUGCCCAGUCGUGGGGGAUAACGCAGCGAAAGCUGCGCUAAUACCGCAUACGACCUAUGGCUGAAAGCGGGGGACCGAAAGGCCUCGCGCGAUUGGAGCGGCCGAUGUCAGAUUAGGUAGUUGGUGGGGUAAAGGCUCACCAAGCCGACGAUCUGUAGCUGGUCUGAGAGGACGACCAGCCACACUGGGACUGAGACACGGCCCAGACUCCUACGGGAGGCAGCAGUGGGGAAUUUUGGACAAUGGGCGCAAGCCUGAUCCAGCAAUGCCGCGUGCAGGAAGAAGGCCUUCGGGUUGUAAACUGCUUUUGUACGGAACGAAACGGUCCUGGUUAAUACCCGGGACUAAUGACGGUACCGUAAGAAUAAGCACCGGCUAACUACGUGCCAGCAGCCGCCGCCGUAA
rnacentral:rRNA from 1 species